rnacentral:rRNA from 1 species
UGGGGAAUUUUGGACAAUGGGCGAAAGCCUGAUCCAGCAAUGCCGCGUGUGUGAAGAAGGCCUUCGGGUUGUAAAGCACUUUUGUCCGGAAAGAAAUCCUUGGCUCUAAUACAGUCGGGGGAUGACGGUACCGGAAGAAUAAGCACCGGCUAACUACGUGCCAGCAGCCGCGGUAAUACGUAGGGUGCAAGCGUUAAUCGGAAUUACUGGGCGUAAAGCGUGCGCAGGCGGUUUGCUAAGGCCGAUGUGAAAUCCCCGGGCUCAACCUGGGAACUGCAUUGGUGACUGGCAGGCUAGAGGUAUGGCAGAGGGGGGUAGAAUUCCACGUGUAGCAGUGAAAUGCGUAGAGAUGUGGAGGAAUACCGAUGGCGAAGGCAGCCCCCUGGGCCAAUACUGACGCUCAUGCACGAAAGCGUGGGGAGCAAACAGGAUUAGAUACCCUGGUAGUCCACGCCCUAAACGAUGUCAACUAGUUGUUGGGGAUUCAUUUCCUUAGUAACGUAGCUAACGCGUGAAGUUGACCGCCUGGGGAGUACGGUCGCAAGAUUAAAACUCAAAGGAAUUGACGGGGUCAUAGCUGUUUCCU